AUUCCGGUUGAUCCUGCCGGACCCGACUGCUAUCGGGGUAGGGCUAAGCCGUGGGAGUCGAACGCCCUGCUGCUGCAGGGCGUGGCGCACGGCUGAGUAACACGUAGCUAACCUACCCUCAGGAGGGGGAUAACCUCACGGGAAACUGGGGCUAAUCCCCCAUAGGCGGGGAGGCCUGGAAGGGUUCCCCGCCGAAAGGGAGUAUAGGGGGUCACCACCUAUACUCCGCCUGAGGAUGGGGCUGCGGCCUAUCAGGCUGUUGGCGGGGUAACGGCCCGCCAAACCGAAGACGGGUAGGGGCCGUGAGAGCGGGAGCCCCCAGAUGGGCACUGAGACAAGGGCCCAGGCCCUACGGGGCGCACCAGGCGCGAAAACUCCGCAAUGCGGGAAACCGUGACGGGGCUACCCCGAGUGCCCUCCUUGUGGGGGCUUUUCCCCGCUGUAAACAGGCGGGGGAAUAAGCGGGGGGCAAGUCUGGUGUCAGCCGCCGCGGUAAUACCAGCCCCGCGAGUGGUCGGGGUGCUUACUGGGCCUAAAGCGGCCGUAGCCGGCCUGGCAAGUCUCCCCUGAAAGCCUCGGGCUCAACCCGAGGACCGGGGAGAUACUACCGGGCUAGGGGGCGGGAGAGGCCGAGGGUACUCCCGGGGUAGGGGCGAAAUCCUAUAAUCCCGGGAGGACCACCAGUGCGAAGCGCUCGGCUGGACCGCGCCCACGGUGAAGGCCGAAAGCCGGGGGAGCGAUCGAUAGAUACCGGUAGUCCGCUGUAACGAUGCGGCCUAGGUGUUAGGCGGAGCGAAAGGAG
rnacentral:rRNA from 1 species